GUCCCCGGGAGCCGGGCGCGCGGGCCGGGGCUGGGGCUGGGGAGAGGCGGGCCGCGUGGGGCG
rnacentral:miRNA from 1 species